rnacentral:rRNA from 1 species
ACUUGGCUCAAGGAAGAAUGAUGACGGUAACGUUGAGGAAUCAGCAUCGGCUAACUCCGUGCCAGCAGCCGCGGUAAUACGUCCAGAGGAUGCAAGCGUUAUCCGGAAUGAUUGGGCGUAAAGCGUCCGUAGGUGGCUGUGUGUGUCUAGUGUUAAAGAGUUUGGCUCAACCAAAUAAGAGGCGGUAGAACCUACACAGCUAGGAGUGCGUUCGGGGCAGAGGGAAUUCCUGGUGUAGCGGUGAAAUGCGUAGAGAUCAGGCCCAACACCGGUGGCGAAAGCGCUCUGCGG